rnacentral:rRNA from 1 species
AAGCGGAGGAAAAGAAAAUAACCAUGAUUGCCUUAGUAACGGCGAGUGAAGAGGCAAAAGCUCAAGUUUGGAAGCUCAAUGGUUUAACCAUUGCGCAUUGUAAACUGAAAACAGGAUCAAUCAGGUACACCGGGUGAUAAGUUCCUUGGAAUAGGACAUCAUGGAGGGUGAGAAUCCCGUCUUUGACCCGAGUCUUAGUAUCUUUUGUAUUGGCCUGUUCAAGAGUCAGGUUGUUUGGGAAUGCAGCCUAAAGCUGGAGGUAAAUCCCUCCUGAAGCUAAAUAAUGGCGAGAGACCGAUAGCGAACAAGUACCGUGAGGGAAAGAUGAAAAGAACUCUGAAGAGAGAGUUAAACAGUACGUGAAAUUGCUUAAAGGGAAGCAUAUAAAGCUAGGAUGCGAUUGUUUUCUUCAGGUUGAGCUUUGGCUUGACUGUUCAGAAGGAUAAUCCAAGACAACAAGAAUUGGAGGAGGAGAAUAAGCCAUUGGGGAAGGUAAUCCUUCGGGAUGUUUAUAGACCUGAUGGUUCGCGCUCUUCUUUCGAUUGAGGUACGCUUUUUUUUUAAAAGGUUGUUGUCUGAAUGGCUUUAUAUGGCCC